GCCGGGGUAGCUCAGCUUGGUAGAGCGCGGCCCUGAAAAGGCCGGCGUCGGCGGUUCAAAUCCGUUCCCCGGCACCA
rnacentral:tRNA from 1 species